AGCAGCCGCGGUAAUUCCAGCUCCAAUAGCGUAUAUUAAAGUUGUUGCAGUUAAAAAGCUCGUAGUCGAAUUUCGAGAUCAAAUUGUUGGUCGUGCCUCGGUACGUACUGGCAUUAUUGAUUUCUCCCUUCUGAAGAACCGCGAUGUCAUUAAUUUGGUGUCGUGGGGAAUCAGGACCGUUACUUUGAAAAAAUUAGAGUGUUUAAAGCAGGCUCACGCUUGAAUACAUUAGCAUGGAAUAAUGAAAUAGGACGUUUGAUUCUAUUUUGUUGGUUUCUAGGAUCGACGUAAUGAUUAAUAGGGAUAGUUGGGGGCAUUAGUAUUCAAUUGUCAGAGGUGAAAUUCUUGGAUUUAUUGAAGACUAACUACUGCGAAAGCAUUUGCCAAGGAUGUUUUCAUUAAUCAAGAACGAAAGUUAGGGGAUCGAAGACGAUCAGAUACCGUCGUAGU
rnacentral:rRNA from 1 species